AUUGAACGCUGGCGGCAUGCCUUACACAUGCAAGUCGAACGGUAACAGGUCUUCGGAUGCUGACGAGUGGCGAACGGGUGAGUAAUACAUCGGAACGUGCCCGAUCGUGGGGGAUAACGGAGCGCAAGCUUUGCUAAUACCGCAUACGAUCUACGGAAGAAAGCCGGGGACCGCAAGGGCUUGCGCGGGCGGAGCGGCCGAUGGCAGAUUAGGUAGUUGGUGGGAUAAAAGCUUACCAAGCCGACGAUCUGUAGCUGGUCUGAGAGGACGACCAGCCACACUGGGACUGAGACACGGCCCAGACUCCUACGGAAGGCAGCAGUGGGGAAUUUUGGACAAUGGGCGAAAGCCUGAUCCAGCCAUGCCGCGUGCAGGAUGAAGGCCUUCGGGUUGUAAACUGCUUUUGUACGGAACGAAAAGACUCUUUCUAAUAAAGAGGGUCCAUGACGGUACCGUAAGAAUAAGCACCGGCUAACUACGUG
rnacentral:rRNA from 1 species